rnacentral:lncRNA from 1 species
AAACCCACUAAGAAAAUUUGAGUACAAGUGAUUUACCGAAAAUACAUGACUCAAUUUACCGAAUCCUCGUUGUAGAUUGUUUUCGCCGGUCCUCAAUCGAUCAAAGUCCUUCGAUCAAUCCUGCUGCAAAUCCUCGCAGCGUCAACGCCUCGACUCCUCGAUGCGUCUACCGAAUUCUCGGCCUCACACGCGAUCAACGUGCAUUU